AGUGCUGUAGGCAAAUGGUUUAAGCCGCUUGACUUUCAAUCAAGUGAUUUGUUCACUUCAAAUCCCGUCAGCACUA
rnacentral:tRNA from 1 species